GCCGGACGUGGUGGCGCACACCUGUAAUCCCAGUGGCUCAGGAGGCUGAGGCAGGAGGAUCCCAAAUUCAAAGCCAGCCUCAGCAACUGCAAGGUGCUAAGCAACUCAGUGAGACCCUGUCUCUA
rnacentral:sRNA from 1 species